rnacentral:rRNA from 1 species
UUUGGAAUAUUGCACAAUGGGGGAAACCCUGAUGCAGCGACGCCGCGUGGAGGAUGAAGGAUCUAGGUCUGUAAACUCCUUUUAUCGGGAAAGACUUAGGACGGUACCCGAUGAAUAAGCUCCGGCUAACUACGUGCCAGCAGCCGCGGUAAGACGUAGGGAGCGAGCGUUGUCCGGAUUUACUGGGCGUAAAGGGCGCGUAGGCGGUCUGUUAAGUGUGAAGUGAAAUCUCCAGGGCUCAACCCGGAAACUGCUUCGCAUACUGGCAGACUUGAGGAAUGCAGAGGUAAGUGGAAUUCCUGGUGUAGCGGUGAAAUGCAUUGAUAUCAGGAGGAACACCAAUGGCGAAGGCAGCUUACUGGGCAUUAUCUGACGCUGAGGCGCGAAAGCGUGGGUAGCAAACAG